GNAANCUUGCUUUUUGNCGGAACGAAAAGGCCCUGGUGAACAACCGGGGUUGCUGACGGUACCGUAAGAAUAAGCACCGGCUAACUACGUGCCAGCAGCCGCGGUAAUACGUAGGGUGCGAGCGUUAAUCGGAAUUACUGGGCGUAAAGCGUGCGCAGGCGGACAUGCAAGACAGAUGUGAAAUCCCCGGGCUCAACCUGGGAACUGCAUAUGUGACUGUAUGACUGGAGUACGGCAGAGGGGGAUGGAAUUCCGCGUGUAGCAGUGAAAUGCGUAGAUAUGCGGAGGAACACCGAUGGCGAAGGCAAUCCCCUGGGCCAGUACUUGACGCUCAUGCACCGAAAGCGNGGGGAGCAAACAGGAUUAGAUACCCUGGUAGUCC
rnacentral:rRNA from 1 species